AGUAAAUUUGAAAAAUGGCUACGGAUAGUGAGUCUGGAAGUGAAUACGAGGUUGACAAAAUCCUUCAACAGAGGAAACGGAAAGGUGUGAUAGAGUACCUGGUCAGAUGGCAAGGUUACGGGGCAGAAAAUGAUUCAUGGGAGCCAGGGAAAAACUUGAAGGACUGUGCAGCGAAGAUAAAAGCUUUCAAUGAGAAUGAAAAUGCAAAUGCUACUCCUAAAAAACGAGGGAGAAAGUCGACGUCCAGAUCGAGGUCAAGGUCACGUGGAAGGUCAGCAUCCAAGGGCAGAAAAUCCCCAAGUCGCAAGAAAGCGACCCCUGUCAAACAGGAGACGGCGGUUCGUCGGUCCAGUAGAUCCAGGUCCAGGGGUCGUCAGCAAACCACAGUGGAGACCCUCACUAAAAAAGUGGAGGAAUUUUCUGAUGAUGAGAACCAAAUAAAAAAGUUUGUCACAGAAACCAAGGAAACUGUUACCAGGUCAAGCGGAACUGCUGCACCAGUGAAGAGCAAGAUGAAGAACCCAGUGAAGGCGUUGUAUAGACAGCUGACCACAUCUGACUACCCCACCAUCAUCAUCUUCACCUGCAUUGCUCUCAUCACACUCAGCUUUGUGUUGGAGCCUUACAUCAAGUAAACUUUUACAUUUUAUGCUGUGUUACUUGCCUGCGUCAAUGUAAACUUGAUAUUUGCUUUAUUGUCUUAUGGCUCAUUUCAAAGAAGAAAUAAAAGCUUGUUAAUUGUUAGGUAUUAUAUAUAAAAUUGUGCCUUUAAUACUUUCAAAAGAUUGGAGGGUAUAAUGACAAUCACAUGCAUUUUGUUGUUUGUAAAAUUGCUAAAUCUUAACUGAUUAAUUACAGCUUGGAGCAGGCCUGGACUUGGGUCACAAAAAUUGUAUCAUCUCUUCAGAAAUAUGUUCAAGGACUGUGGGCCGCUCCCGCCAGCAAAUCAGGAGGGAAGUGAGGCAGUGACUUAGAUCUCGGCCAAGCAGAUGGCAGCUUCAAUAGUCAUUGAUCAAUCACUGGAUGCAAUUUUAAGUGACAGCAAUUCAAUUUUAAAUGGUGACAUUUUGUAUGAAAGAAAUUUAGAAAUACAUUUGUAUUUUAUAAAGUUUUGUAAGACUUCAGUUGUAGAAUGAACUAGUGUAGUGCUGUAGACAUUUUAACACAGAUUUAUUUUAUUACAUAUAUUUUUACUUAACACUUGAUACUGGAAAUGUAAAAAAAAAAAACAAAGAAGAACUGAUUGAAAAUUAUUCAAAUUUUGUCUCCCACAGUAUUGCAUGGUCUUAUGAAAUCCCAUCAAUGUGGUUUUUAGUCCAUUUUAUCUGAUAAGAAAUGCUUACAUUUGCAUAUAUAUGAAAAUGAGACAGCAAUAAUUAGAAAGAAAAGACUGUGGACAUUAGAAAACGAACCAAAUUCUUUGUAUAGUGUAGAUUUACCAUAACACCUUUAUCAAUGUUGACAUAAAUGUGAUGUGGUUAUCAGCAUUACAAUGUAAUGGAAGAGAUUCAGACAGGGCAACAGAAAUGUAGUUUGUUUGUUUCCUUGGAGACUGAGAGAUAAAGGUUGCUGUCAAUGACAGAGUGUGUUCAUAGCAGUUGUAGUCCAUGUAAAUAAACCCAGCCUGUAAGCUGUAAUACUCCUCUCGUAUCAUAACCCCACCUACUCGCAAUAUCAAAUACACCCCCUCCAUAGUCCACUAAUAUUUUCUGUAUUGUUUUUAUAUCUACGUCAAGUUUUAAGUUUUGUUUACAAGACAUCUGACAUUUUAUCUUCAGUAUCAUUGUUUGGUCAUUUACAUGCUACAACCCGAGUCAAAUUUUGGCAUUCCUGGAUAGAACAAGAGAUGGUCAGGCUGUGUACAAUCUUUUACAGCUGUAUAUCGCUAUGUAUAUCUAUGUAUAGCUGUGUACAGGUGCGUUUGAUAUCCUUUAUGAGAUCUAAGGGUGAAGUCCGUUCUCUUUAUUCCCCUGUGUGGACCCUCAGGAAAUUCUAUUUUGUGGAACUUUUAUUAUUGAAAAGAUCUUGUGAAUAAACUUUUAUAUGAAUGCU
rnacentral:misc_RNA from 1 species